rnacentral:rRNA from 1 species
GGGAGCUCUCCCAUAUGGUCGACCUGCAGGCGGCCGCGAAUUCACUAGUGAUUCGUAUUACCGCGGCUGCUGGCACGGAGUUAGCCGGUGCUUAUUCAUAGGGUACUGUCAAGUGAGAAAGAAUUCCCUUUUUUCGCCCCCUAUAAAAGAAGUUUACAAUCCAGAGGACCUUCAUCCUUCACGCGGCAUGGCUGGUUCAGACUUGCGUCCAUUGACCAAUAUUCCUUACUGCUGCCUCCCGUAGGAGUCGGGCCCGUGUCUCAGUGCCCGUGUGGCUGAUCAUGCUCUCACAUCAGCUACUGAUCGAAGGCUUGGUGGGCCUUUACCCCGCCAACUACCUAAUCAGCCGCACACCCAUCUUCAAGCGUCGAAACUAUAAUAACAGUGUGAUGCCACACCGCUAUAUUACGGGGUAUUAAUCCACAUUUCUAUGGGCUAUCCCCCUCUUAAAGGAAGGUUGUGUACGUGUUCCGCACCCGUUUGCCGGUCGCCAGCCUCUAUAUUGCUAUAAAGCUGCUGCCCCUCGACUUGCAUGUAUUAAGCCUGCCGCUAGCGUUCAUCCUGAGCCAUGAUCAAACUCUAAUCGAAUUCCCGCGGCCGCCAUGGCGGCCGGGAGCAUGCGAC